UGGUAGAUGCACCCUGAUGUCUGACUCCUGAGCCUUUUUGAGGCUUAGGGGUCUUUUUU
rfam:Leptolyngbya sp. Heron Island J, whole genome shotgun sequence.